rnacentral:rRNA from 1 species
UACGGAGGGUGCGAGCGUUGUCCGGAAUCACUGGGCGUAAAGGGCGCGUAGGCGGCGCGGGAAGUCAUCGGUGAAAGUUCAGGGCUCAACUCUGAAUCGGCCGGUGAUACUCUCGUGCUCGAGCACUGUAGAGGCAGGUGGAAUUCCGGGUGUAGCGGUGAAAUGCGUAGAGAUCGGGAGGAACACCAGUGGCGAAGGCGGCUACCUGGACCAGCACUGACACUCAGGCACGAAAGCGUGGGGAGCAAACAGG